GUGUGAACCGUAGACGAGUAAUUGUACACAGACAAUACACACUCCAUAUUAGUCCCGACCCGACAUACCAGUGAGCUGUCUGUGUAGUUAGUUCUCUGCGGUAGUGAAACUUACAGUUACCGGUCAGGCAUUUAUUGGCGUUUCCUUACUUUUAAAGUUCCUACUUUUUAUUAUUUAAGUUUUAGAAUUUUAAAUUCAUAUAAUGAAUGCUUUAUUUAGCAUAUAUUGUAUCUAGUAAUAUACCCUUAUUAUAUGUUUUGUUAUCUAAUCGCUGUAUACUUAGGUAGUUAAGUGACUACGUGAUAUAUUUUUUACUUAAUAAAAACACGCAAUAGUAUUUUCAUGAACGAAAAAGUCCUUAACAUCUGUUUUGUACUAUAUAUUAAUUAUUUGUUUCUAUCUACGUAUUAUUAUUUCAACUUGAAGUCCAUUCAAAGAUGAAAUACUACAAAUAAAUUAUUCAAAGAACUGCGACCACAAAUUUUGGUUUUAUUUUUGUGAAUUGUUUGUUGGUACAUUCAAAUAAUUAAUUAAGGAAAUGUCGUGUUUAGCAACUGUGGAAGGUUGAAUUAUUUUUCAACUACUAGCUAAGUGUUUAAUAACAACUUACUUGAGAGAGCUUAUUCAAUAUCAAUGACAGUUUAGUAAUUCCUUUCUUAACGAGGUACAUCGUCACGCAAACUUGUGAUAUAUUUACAUACAUAGAACUAUAUUGUAUAAUUUCCUAAAUAAGGUACAUACGAUACAUAGUAAGGUUAUUCUUAUUAGUUAGUAUGUAGGUGCUAUCGGAUAACAUUAUUAUCUCCCAAUAGUAACACGUGUUGUGUAACACUACUUCACUGUGUCACUGUGAUUUAUAAGUAUUAUUAGUUAUUAGGUGAGUUUAAUUUUCUGUACUUUGAGAAGUAUUGUUUGAAUUCUAUGCUUUCCAAAAAUUCACACACAAUUAUAUAUAACACAAUAAUUACAAUACACAUAA